rnacentral:rRNA from 1 species
GCAAGNUCGAACGGUAAGGGUCCCGCACCUUAGNUCGGGAUACACGAGUGGCGCACGGGNNGNGNUAACGCGCUACACAACCUACCCUUAAGUGGGGAAUAGCCCCUGGGAAACUGGGAUUAAUACCCCAUAAUAUUGAUUUGUUUACGGGUGAAUCAAUUAAAGUUCAGGCGCUUAAGGAUGGGUGUGCGUCCUAUUAGCUAGUUGGUGAGGUAACGGCUCACCAAGGCGACGAUAGGUAGGGGGCGUGAGAGCGUGGUCCCCCACACGGGUACUGAGACACGGACCCGACUCCUACGGGAGGCAGCAGUAAGGAAUAUUGGACAAUGGGCGAAAGCCUGAUCCAGCCAUCCCGCGUGCAGGAUGACGGCCCUAUGGGUUGUAAACUGCUUUUGCUUGGGAAGAAACCCUCACUUUUAAGUGGGGCUGACGGUACCUUGCGAAUAAGCACCGGCUAACUCCGUGCCAGCAGCCGCGGUAAUACGGAGGGUGCAAGCGUUAUCCGGAAUCACUGGGUUUAAAGGGUGCGUAGGCGGAUAAAUAAGUCAGAGGUGAAAUCCUGCAGCUUAACUGUAGAACUGCCUUUGAUACUGUUUGUCUUGAAUUAGGUUAAGGUCAGCGGAAUGUG